rnacentral:rRNA from 1 species
AACGAACGCUGGCGGCAUGCCUAACACAUGCAAGUCGAACGAGACCUUCGGGUCUAGUGGCGCACGGGUGUGUAACGCGUGGGAACCUGCCCUUAGGUUCGGAAUAACUCCCCGACAGGGGUGCUAAUACCGGAUAAUGUCUUCGGCCCAAAGAUUUAUUGCCCUUGGAUGUGCCCGCGUUGGAUUAGCUAGUUGGUAGGGUAAAAGCCUACCAAGGCGACGAUCCAUAGCUGGUCUGUGAGGAUGAUCAGCCACACUGGGAGUGGGACACGGCCCAGACUCCUACGGGAGGCGGCAGUGGGUGAUAUUGGACAGUCGGCGGAGGCCUGAUCCAGCACUGCCGCGUGAGUGAUGAAGGCCUUAGGGUUGUAAAGCUCUUUUACCCGGGAUGAUAAUGACAGUACCGGGUGAAUAAGCUCCGGCUAACUCCGUG